rnacentral:rRNA from 1 species
GGGUUGUCCAAGUUUAAGGUGGUAGGCUGAGAUCUUAGGUAAAUCCGGGAUCUUAAGGCCGAGAGCUGAUGACGAGUUAACUUUUAGUUAACGAAGUGGUUGAUGCCAUGCUUCCAAGAAAAGCUUCUAAGCUUCAGGUAACCAGGAACCGUACCCCAAACCGACACAGGUGGUUGGGUAGAGAAUACCAAGGCGCUUGAGAGAACUCGGGUGAAGGAACUAGGCAAAAUGGCACCGUAACUUCGGGAGAAGGUGCGCCGGUGAGGGUGAAGGACUUGCUCCGUAAGCUCAUGCCGGUCGAAGAUACCAGGCCGCUGCGACUGUUUAUUAAAAACACAGCACUCUGCAAACACGAAAGUGGACAUAUAGGGUGUGACGCCUGCCCGGUGCCGGAAGGUUAAUUGAUGGGGUUAGCUAACGCGAAGCUCUUGAUCGAAGCCCCGGUAAACGGCGGCCGUAACAAUAACGGUCCUAAGGUAGCGAAAUUCCUUGUCGGGUAAGUUCCGACCUGCACGAAUGGCGUAACGAUGGCGGCGCUGUCUCCACCCGAGACUCAGUGAAAUUGAAAUCGCUGUGAAGAUGCAGUGUAUCCGCGGCUAGACGGAAAGACCCCGUGAACCUUUACUAUAGCUUUGCACUGGACUUUGAAUUUGCUUGUGUAGGAUAGGUGGGAGGCUUUGAAGUGUGGACGCCAGUCUGCAUGGAGCCAACCUUGAAAUACCACCCUGGCAACUUUGAGGUUCUAACUCAGGUCCGUUAUCCGGAUCGAGGACAGUGAAUGGUGGGUAGUUUGACUGGGGCGGUCUCCUCCUAAAGAGUAACGGAGGAGUACGAAGGUGCGCUCAGACCGGUCGGAAAUCGGUCGUAGAGUAUAAAGGCAAAAGCGCGCUUGACUGCGAGACAGACACGUCGAGCAGGUACGAAAGUAGGUCUUAGUGAUCCGGUGGUUCUGUAUGGAAGGGCCAUCGCUCAACGGAUAAAAGGUACUCCGGGGAUAACAGGCUGAUACCGCCCAAGAGUUCAUAUCGACGGCGGUGUUUGGCACCUCGAUGUCGGCUCAUCACAUCCUGGGGCUGAAGCCGGUCCCAAGGGUAUGGCUGUUCGCCAUUUAAAGUGGUACGCGAGCUGGGUUUAGAACGUCGUGAGACAGUUCGGUCCCUAUCUGCCGUGGACGUUUGAGAUUUGAGAGGGGCUGCUCCC